UAACACGUGGGGAACCUGCCCCAUAGUCUGGGAUACCACUUGGAAACAGGUGCUAAUACCGGAUAAGAAAGCGGAUCGCAUGAUCAGCUUUUAAAAGGCGGCGUAAGCUGUCGCUAUGGGAUGGCCCCGCGGUGCAUUAGCUAGUUGGUAAGGUAAAGGCUUACCAAGGCGAUGGUGCAUAGCCGAGUUGAGAGACUGAUCGGCCACAUUGGGACUGAGACACGGCCCAAACUCCUACGGGAGGCAGCAGUC
rnacentral:rRNA from 1 species